rnacentral:rRNA from 1 species
GGCCCAACUCAAAAUCCUACCACGGUGCUCUUCACCGAGUGUCGAGGUGGGCCGGUACGUUUACUUUGAACAAAUUAGAGUGCUUAAAGCAGGCUCAUUCGCCUGAAUAUUCUGUGCAUGGAAUAAUGGAAUAGGACCUCGGUUCUAUUUUGUUGGUUUUCGGAACUCCGAGGUAAUGAUUAAUUGGGACAACUGGGGGCAUUCGUAUUGCGACGUUAGAGGUGAAAUUCUUGGAUCGUCGCAAGACGGACAGAAGCGAAAGCAUUUGCCAAAUGUGUUUUCAUCAAUCAAGAACGAAAGUUAGAGGUUCGAAGGCGAUCAGAUACCGCCCUAGUUCUAACCAUAAACGAUGCCAGCUAGCGAUCCGCCGAAGUUCCUCCGAUGACUCGGCGGGCAGCUUCCGGGAAACCAAAGCUUUUGGGUUCCGGGGGAAGUAUGGUUGCAAAGCUGAAACUUAAAGGAAUUGACGGAAGGGCACCACCAGGAGUGGAGCCUGCGGCUUAAUUUGACUCAACACGGGAAACCUCACCAGGCCCGGACACCGGAAGGAUUGACAGAUUGAGAGCUCUUUCUUGAUUCGGUGGGUGGUGGUGCAUGGCCGCUCUUAGUUGGUGGAGCAAUUUGUCUGGUUAAUUCCGAUAACGAACGAGACUCUAGCCUGCUAAAUAGGCGUACUUUCCGGUAUCUCGAAGGCCCGCCGGCUCGGCUUCGGUCGUUGUCGUGUGUGGUUUUUACUACCGGCGUACACAUAUAUCUUCUUAGAGGGACAGGUGGCAUUUAGCCGCACGAAAUUGAGCAAUAGCAGGUCUGUGAUGCCCUUAGAUGUUCUGGGCCGCACGCGCGCUACACUGAAGGGAUCAGCAGGUUUUCCUUGGCCGAAAGGUCCGGGUAAUCCGUUGAAGCCCCUUCGUGCUAGGGAUUGGGGCUUGCAAUUCUUCCCCAUGAACGAGGAAUUCCCAGUAAGCGCGAGUCAUAAGCUUGCGUUGAUUACGUCCCUGCCCUUUGUGCACACCGCCCGUCGCUACUACUGAUGAAUGAUUUAGUGAGGUC